CAGCAGCCACGGGAAAACCAGCACCUCGAGUGGUCAGGAGGUUUAUUGGGCCUAAAGCAUCCGUAGCCGGUUGCAUAAGUUUUCGGUUGAAUCUAUGCGCUUAACGUAUAGGCCGCCGAAAAUACUGUGCAGCUAGGGAGUGGGAGAGGUACACGGUACUCGAUAGGAAGGGGUAAAAUCCUUUGAUCUAUUGACGACCACCUGUGGCGAAGGCGGUGUACCAGAACACGUUCGACGGUGAGGGAUGAAAGCUGGGGGAGCAAACCGGAUUAGAUACCCCUGUAGUCCCUGUCUCUUAUAC
rnacentral:rRNA from 1 species